rnacentral:rRNA from 1 species
UAAGCAUAUCAAUAAGCGGAGGAAAAGAAACCAACAGGGAUUGCCUCAGUAACGGCGAGUGAAGCGGCAACAGCUCAAAUUUGAAAUCUGGCCUCUUUGGGGUCCGAGUUGUAAUUUGUAGAGGAUGUUUCGGGUACCGCCUCGGUCUAAAUUUCUUGGAACAGAAUGUCAAAGAGGGUGAGAAUCCCGUCUUGGACCGGCGGUAGGGCCCAUGUGAAACUCCUUCGACGAGUCGAGUUGUUUGGGAAUGCAGCUCAAAAUGGGUGGUAAAUUUCAUCUAAAGCUAAAUAUUGGCCAGAGACCGAUAGCGCACAAGUAGAGUGAUCGAAAGAUGAAAAGCACUUUGAAAAGAGAGUUAAACAGUAUGUGAAAUUGUUGAAAGGGAAGCGCUUGCAACCAGACUUGAGCGCGGCGGUUCCCCCUUCCUUUUGGUUGGGUUACUCCGCCGUGUCCAGGCCAACAUCGGUUCUGGGGGUCGGUUAAAGGCUCGAGGAAUGUAUCUACUCCUUCGGGGGUAGACUUAUAGCCUCGGGUGUCAUGCGACCUCCCGGGACCGAGGAACGCGCUUCGGCUCGGAUGUUGGCGUAAUGGUUGUCAGCGACCCGUCUUGAAACACGGACCAAGGAGUCUAACAUCUAUGCGAGUGUUUGGGUGUCAAACCCGGAACGCGGAAUGAAAGUGAACGGAGGUAGGAAGCCGCAAGGCUGCACUAUCGACCGAUCCUGAUGUCUUCGGAUGGAUUUGAGUAAGAGCAUAGCUGUUGGGACCCGAAAGAUGGUGAACUAUGCCUGAAUAGGGUGAAGCCAGAGGAAACUCUGGUGGAGGCUCGCAGCGGUUCUGACGUGCAAAUCGAUCGUCAAAUUUGGGUAUAGGGGCGAAAGACUAAUCGAACCAUCUGGUAGCUGGUUCCUGCCGAA